rnacentral:lncRNA from 1 species
CCAGGGAACUCUGGAUCUGGGAUAAUCCUUCAGAGUUGUCCUGCCUUAAAGAGAUGAGAUCAGGCCUUUUUUUUUCUCCCAUCCCCAGAACCAGUUAUUGGAUAGAUGUGUUCCUAGGAAGAAGAUGUAAGCUUGGGUGAUUCCCAUUAGCUGAGAGCAAAUCUCUGAAUAGGAUUCAGCUGAGAGCCAGAAGCCCCCAACACUCCCAGAAGCUGGUCGGCUCUGGGAGUUACAGCCUUGUAACCACUACACUUCCCAACGCAACUAACCUCAAGUCCAGGGCUUUCCCUACUGUCCCCUUCUCUCAACUAGGGGCAAAUCUUGUCAUUAGAUUAGAACUUCUAUGGAGGGAAAUCUGCUUGGAGUGUAUUGUUUACAAAAUAAAAAUUUCCAAUAUCAUGUGGUUUAUCAAGGAGGAUAUUCAGGGUUGGAACUAUUUAUGCGUCAAUUCAAGAGUUCUGUGCUGUUAUUUCCAUCUGCAAAGGUCAUUCUACUAAGGCUAGAACUUAAGCCCCAGGGAGUUUCUUGGCUUAGUGAAGACUUCUAGUUUUCAACAGCGAUGAGACAAGGAGUGUCUGAAUUCAUUCAGCAUCAGCCUCCAACUCCACCCCACACGUAUCCGCUGGUCCUCAUGUGAACACAAGUUAUUAUCCAAAACGUGGUGUCCUUCAUGUUUAAUUUAAAAUCAGGAAAUUGCUGCAGCCACUCCAACCUUCAGCAACCACCUCCUUGAUCAGUCAGCAGCCAUCAACAUUGAGGCAAGACCCUCCACCAGCAAAAUGAUUAUGACUUACUGAAGGUUCAGAUAAUCAUUCUCACUUUUUGGCAACAAAGUAUAUUUUAUUAAGGUGCAACUAAAAAUUCUGGAUAUUCUGUACAAAAGAAACAAAAUAAAAGUCUCAAGGAUGGAGAGGAGGGACUGGCUAAAGAUGCAGAGACCCAAUGAAUGACGCAGAGAGUCGUUCCACAGGCCCCAGCUGGCUAUUUUCUCUCUAUUCACCUUUAAAGGAGAGUUUUAUCCGUGUCUUGCAUUCAUAUAAUUGGCGAGUAUCCUUUUUGAUUUCUCUUAUGUGUUAAAUGAAUUCCUUUUGAAUUCUGCAGUCCAGCAGCCUGAGGAGGUGUGCAGUGAACUGUAGGUCAAGAACCUAGAUCUGCAUCAUUUGUUUUCUGCUAUGUGAGAAGCUGCCAUGCUAUCUACUGUAUCUGGUCACUACACCCAGGACAAGCUCAGACCCCUUCCUGAUGUGUCAGCCUCUUGUGUUUGGACAAGCCAUCCCCUCCCUGCCUGAUCUCUGCUUGGCUGCGUAAACAACUGGGAGUCCUAUUUCAGCUGUUUUCCGGUCCCUCAGCAAUGGGCAUUUGCAAUCUGAGUCCUACCUAAUGUUGGAGUACCAUUUGGCCCCGUUGGCCCCUCACUCUCUCCUUCUUGAAACUGUUUCCUUGCUUUCUGGGUCUCUGAUAUUCCUCUGACUUGCCUUCUAUCUUCAUGACUAUUUUUCUCAGUAUCAUUUGACAGCCCCUCUUGUUCAACCUGACCAGUACGUGUUUUCUCCUCACAAAUCUGUCUUGGUGUUCUUUUUAUUCACACACUCUCAAAGGGUGACCAACUACUGCAGUUUGUUCAAGCCUGAGAAUGUUCCCAUGACAUACGACUUUCAGUGCCAAAAUCGAGAAAGUCUCAAAGAAGAAUGAUUUGCUUACCCUCCCAUACAAAUCUUUGUUCCAUUGAUUUCAAGUACCUUUUGGAUGUCAAACGCUCUAAAAUUUAUUUAUUCGGCCCAGACCUCUCUUCUGAUCUCAUUUCCAGCUAUGUACUAGACAUCUCUGUUUGAAUGUUCCCUCCCACUCCAAAAUAUCUUCUACAUUCUCUAACUCAGGACACUUUACAGCAUUUAUCCAGUUGUCCUUUCCAUCACAGGGAAAUGAUCCCUGACUCUUCCAUCUCCCUCCAUUCUCAC